GACGUAGGGCGCGAGCGUUGUCCGGAUUUAUUGGGCGUAAAGAGCUCGUAGGCGGUUUGUCGCGCCUGCUGUGAAAACUCGGGGCUUAACCCCGGGCCUGCAGUGGGUACGGGCAGACUAGAGUGCGGUAGGGGAGACUGGAAUUCCUGGUGUAGCGGUGAAAUGCGCAGAUAUCAGGAGGAACACCGGUGGCGAAGGCGGGUCUCUGGGCCGUAACUGACGCUGAGGAGCGAAAGCGUGGGGAGCGAACAGG
rnacentral:rRNA from 1 species